rnacentral:rRNA from 1 species
UACAGGGGGGUGCAAACGUUGCUCGGAAUUAUUGGGCGUAAAGCGCGCGUAGGCGGUGACUCAAGUCGGAUGUGAAAGCCCUUGGCUUAACCGAGGAAGUGCAUCCGAAACUGAGUCGCUAGAGUACGAUAGAGGGUCGCGGAAUUCCCGGUGUAGAGGUGAAAUUCGUAGAUAUCGGGAGGAACACCGGUGGCGAAGGCGGCGACCUGGGUCGAUACUGACGCUGAGGCGCGAAAGCGUGGGGAGCAAACAGG